GGCCAGACUCCUACGGGAGGCAGCAGUGGGGAAUAUUGCACAAUGGGGGGAACCCUGAUGCAGCGACGCCGCGUGGGUGAAGAAGCGCCUCGGCGCGUAAAGCCCUGUCAGCAGGGAAGAAAAUGACGGUACCUGAAGAAGAAGCCCCGGCUAACUACGUGCCAGCAGCCGCGGUAAUACGUAGGGGGCAAGCGUUAUCCGGAUUUACUGGGUGUAAAGGGGGCGCAGACGGCGAUGCAAGCCAGGAGUGAAAGCCCGGGGCCCAACCCCGGGACUGCUCUUGGAACUGCGUGGCUGGAGUGCAGGAGGGGCAGGCGGAAUUCCUGGUGUAGCGGUGAAAUGCGUAGAUAUCAGGAGGAACACCGGUGGCGAAGGCGGCCUGCUGGACUGCAACUGACGUUGAGGCCCGAAAGCGUGGGGAGCAAACAGGAUUAGAUACCCUCGUAC
rnacentral:rRNA from 1 species